rnacentral:rRNA from 1 species
UACGAAGGGGGCUAGCGUUGCUCGGAAUUACUGGCGUAAAGCGCACGUAGGCGGAUUGUUAAGUCGGGGGUGAAAUCCUGGAGCUCAACUCCAGAACUGCCUUCGAUACUGGCGAUCUCGAGUUCGGGAGAGGUGAGUGGAACUGCGAGUGUAGAGGUGAAAUUCGUAGAUAUUCGCAAGAACACCAGUGGCGAAGGCGGCUCACUGCCCGAUACUGACGCUGAGGUGCGAAAGCGUGGGGAGGCAA